CUACGGAGGGGGUUAGCGUUGUUCGGAAUUACUGGGCGUAAAGCGCACGUAGGCGGACUGGAAAGUUGGGGGUGAAAUCCCGGGGCUCAACCCCGGAACUGCCUCCAAAACUUCCAAUCUAGAGAUCGAGAGAGGUGAGUGGAAUUCCAAGUGUUGAGGUGAAAUUCGUAGAUAUUUGGAGGAACACCAGUGGCGAAGGCGGCUCACUGGCUCGAUACUGACGCUGAGGUGCGAAAGCGUGGGGAGCAAACAGGAUUAGAAACCCGAGUAGUCC
rnacentral:rRNA from 1 species